UACGGAGGGUGCAAGCGUUGCUCGGAAUUACUGGGCGUAAAGGGAGCGUAGGCGGGUUAUCAAGUUGGAGGUGAAAGCCCAGGGCUCAACCUUGGAAUUGCCUUCAAAACUGAUAACCUAGAGGAUGAUAGAGGUAAGUGGAACUCCGAGUGUAGAGGUGAAAUUCGUAGAUAUUCGGAAGAACACCAGUGGCGAAGGCGACUUACUGGAUCAUUACUGACGCUGAGGCUCGAAAGCGUGGGGAUCGAACAGG
rnacentral:rRNA from 1 species